GUAGGUGGCAAGCGUUGUCCGGAAUUAUUGGGCGUAAAGCGCGCGCAGGCGGUUCUUUAAGUCUGAUGUGAAAGCCCACGGCUCAACCGUGGAGGGUCAUUGGAAACUGGAGAACUUGAGUACAGAAGAGGAAAGCGGAAUUCCACGUGUAGCGGUGAAAUGCCUAGAGAUGUGGAGGAACACCAGUGGCGAAGGCGGCUUUCUGGUCUGUAACUGACGCUGAGGCGCGAAAGCGUGGGGAGCAAACAGGGAUUAGAUACCCUGGUAGUCCACGCCGUAAACGAUGAGUGCUAAGUGUUAGGGGGGUUUCCGCCCCCUUAGUGCUGCAGCUAACGCAUUAAGCACUCCGCCUGGGGAGUACGGCCGCAAGGCUG
rnacentral:rRNA from 1 species